CCUACGGGUGGCAGCAGUCGAGAAUCAUUCACAAUGGGGGAAACCCUGAUGGUGCGACGCCGCGUGGGGGAAUGAAGGUCUUCGGAUUGUAAACCCCUGUCAUGUGGGAGCAAAUUAAAAAGAUAGUACCACAAGAGGAAGAGACGGCUAACUCUGUGCCAGCAGCCGCGGUAAUACAGAGGUCUCAAGCGUUGUUCGGAAUCACUGGGCGUAAAGCGUGCGUAGGCUGUUUCGUAAGUCGUGUGUGAAAGGCGCGGGCUCAACCCGCGGACGGCAGAUGAUACUGCGAGACUAGAGUAAGGGAGGGGGAACCGGAAUUCGCGGUGUAGCAGUGAAAUGCGUAGAUAUCGAGAGGAACACUCGUGGCGAAGGCGGGUUCCUGGACAUUAACUGACGCUGAGGCACGAAGGCCAGGGGAGCGAAAGGGAUUAGAUACCCGAGUAGUC
rnacentral:rRNA from 1 species